rnacentral:tRNA from 1 species
GUCAGGAUGGCUGAGUGGUCUAAGGCGCUGCAUUCAGGUAGCAGUCUCCCCUCGAGGUGUGGUUUCAAAUUCCACUUCUGACA